GUUGGUGUAGCUCAGUGGUAGAGUGCAUGCUUUGGUUGUAUGAUGUCCUAAGUUGAAUCCCCAGCUUGUCCC